GGUUGUGGCUUAGUGGCAGAGUGCUUGCCUUGCAUGUGUGAAGCCCUGGGUUUGAGACUCAGCACCA
rnacentral:tRNA from 1 species